AAAGACAUCAAUUACGGUACAGCAAGUUCUCGACAAGAAAGAAAGAAACCAAAUCUCUCCCUUGGGACCCACAGCCUCCACUAUACCAACUGGAGAAUAUCCAAGAUGCUCCCAAAAGAACUUCAGAUUAUGAAAAGGAGAAUGAAUUUUAACGAUAAUAAAGAAAGUAUGAGAAAAUUUUCUUACUAAUUCUCUACAAUGCACCCGAACUAUCUUAUUAGAUGCACCCGUAAUGUUUCAAAUAAUGAUAUUAAGACUAUCCAUAAAAAUCAACUCCAAAAGAAAGAAGAACUAAACAGGGUUCCUAAAACGGCGGACAUGUUGAUAAUCUGGGCUUUUCAUGUAAAGUUUCCUUCUCUUGGCCAUCCACAACCACCGCUUUCUGGCCUCUGACAUUGUAGC
rnacentral:lncRNA from 1 species